rnacentral:rRNA from 1 species
UGGGGAAUAUUGCACAAUGGGCGCAAGCCUGAUGCAGCCAUGCCGCGUGUGUGAAGAAGGCCUUCGGGUUGUAAAGCACUUUCAGCGAGGAGGAAGGUGGUGAACUUAAUACGUUCAUCAAUUGACGUUACUCGCAGAAGAAGCACCGGCUAACUCCGUGCCAGCAGCCGCGGUAAUACGGAGGGUGCAAGCGUUAAUCGGAAUUACUGGGCGUAAAGCGCACGCAGGCGGUUUGUUAAGUCAGAUGUGAAAUCCCCGGGCUCAACCUGGGAACUGCAUUUGAAACUGGCAAGCUAGAGUCUCGUAGAGGGGGGUAGAAUUCCAGGUGUAGCGGUGAAAUGCGUAGAGAUCUGGAGGAAUACCGGUGGCGAAGGCGGCCCCCCUGGACGAAGACUGACGCUCAGGUGCGAAAGCGCGGGGAGCAAACAGGUUAGAUACCCUGGUAGUCCACGCUGUAAACGAUGUCGAUUUGGAGGUUGUGCCCCUUGAGGGCGUGGCUUCCGGAGCUAACGCGUUAAAUCGACCGCCUGGGGAGUACGGCC